rnacentral:rRNA from 1 species
GACGAACGCUGGCGGCGUGCCUAAUACAUGCAAGUCGAACGCAGUGGGGACGGGUGAGUAACACGUGGGUAACCUCCCAUCAGAGGGGAUCACACUUGGAAACAGGUGCUAAACCGAUACUGAUGUAUGGACCCGCGGUGCAUUAGCUAGUUGGUGAGGUAACGGCUCACAAAGGCCACGAGGCAUAGUCGACCUGAUAGGUGGAUCGGCCACACUGGGACUGAGACACGGCCCAGACUCCUACGGGAGGCAGCAGUAGGGAAUCUUCGGCAAUGGACGCAAGUCUGACCCAGCAACGCCGCGUGAGUGAAGAAGGUUUUCGGAUCGUAAACCUCUGUUGUUAGAGAAGCGUGAUCUAACCAGAAAGCCACGGCUAACUACGUGCCAGCAGCCGCGGUAAUAC